GAUGAACGCUGGCGGCGUGCCUAAUACAUGCAAGUCGAGCGAACGGACGAGAAGCUUGCUUUUCUGAUGUUAGCGGCGGACGGGUGAGUAACACGUGGAUAACCUACCUAUAAGACUGGGAUAACUUCGGGAAACCGGAGCUAAUACCGGAUAAUAUUUCGAACCGCAUGGUUCAAAAGUGAAAGACGGUCUUGCUGUCACUUAUAGAUGGAUCCGCGCUGCAUUAGCUAGUUGGUAAGGUAACGGCUUACCAAGGCAACGAUGCAUAGCCGACCUGAGAGGGUGAUCGGCCACACUGGAACUGAGACACGGUCCAGACUCCUACGGGAGGCAGCAGUAGGGAAUCUUCCGCAAUGGGCGAAAGCCUGACGGAGCAACGCCGCGUGAGUGAUGAAGGUCUUCGGAUCGUAAAACUCUGUUAUUAGGGAAGAACAUAUGUGUAAGUAACUGUGCACAUCUUGACGGUACCUAAUCAGAAAGCCACGGCUAACUACGU
rnacentral:rRNA from 1 species